rnacentral:rRNA from 1 species
AUGCCGUUUGGCCUUUGCAAUGCGCCGGCAACCUUCCAGUGCCUGAUGAACAGCAUAUUCGGCCGCUAUGUCCGUAAGUUCAUCAUCAUUUUUCUUGAUGACAUACUGGUCUUCAGCUUUGAUCUACAGGGACAUGAACAACACUUGCGCCUCACACUGGACCUGCUACGCGAACAUCAACUGUUCGCCAAGGCUUCCAAGUGUUCUUUCGCCCAGGAAAGCAUCGAGUACCUUGGCCACGUCAUUUCACAGUCCGGCGUCGCCACGGACACAAGCAAGACAAGCGCGAUGCAGGCAUGGCCGGUGCCCUCUACACCAACUGAAUUGUGUGGUUUUCUAGGCCUCACCGGCUACUACCGCAAGUUCGUCCAACAUUAUGGCAUCAUCGCGAAGCCGCUCACCCAGCUCCUGACCAAGAAAGGAUUCGAGUGGAGUGACAAGGCCCAGCAGGCGUUCGACAUGCUGAAACAAGCGAUGGUGAGCACACCAGUGCUAGCGCUUCCGGAUUUCUCUCGCCCUUUUGCCAUUGAGACUGACGCGUGCGACACGGGAGUGGGCGCGGUGCUCACCCAGGACGGCCACCCCGUCGCCUAUCUCAGCAAGGCUUUGGGGAUCAAGAACCAGAAGUUGCCCACGUAUGAAAAGGAGUUCUUGGCUGUUAUGAUGGCCAUCGACAAGUGGAGACCUUACCUGCAGCGGGCUCCGUUCGAAAUCCUCACCGACCACAAGAGCCUCUACACGCUCGGGGAUCAACAGCUGGUGACUGAGCUGCAGCGCAAGGCCAUGUCCAAGAUGGUGGGGCUGCAAUUCACCUUUCGGUACAAGAAAGGUGUUGACAAUGGUGCCGCUGACGCGCUAUCCAGAGUGGGCCAUCUAUUGACACUGGAUGCACUAUCAGUUUGUCAGCCACAGUGGUUACAAGAAGUCGCGAACUCCUACGAGACGGACCCCGAAUCACAAGAACUACUGGCCAAGCUGGCAGUCACCACCACGGAUGAUCAAGGGCGCACGCUUCAGAAUGGCAUGAUCAGGCAGCGCGGGCGUCUGUGGAUUGGAGCCAAUUCUGCACUACAGACCAAGCUGAUCGCCGCGCUGCAUCACAGCGCUAUUGGGGGCCACUCCGGCGCAACGGCGACGUACCAUCGCGUCCGGAAACUGUUCGCAUGGCCUGGACUGAAGCGUGCCGUGGAGGAUUUUGUCCGUCAGUGUGCCGUCUGCCAGCAUGCCAAGCACGAGCACACGCACCCCGCAGGCAAGCUGCAACCCCUACCAAUUCCAACGGAACCUUGGCAUGAUCUGACCAUGGACUUUGUCGAGGGGCUGCCCAAAUCAGAGGGGUCUGAUGCCAUCAUGGUCGUCGUCGAUCGUCUAACCAAGUACGCGCACUUCAUCUCACUACACCACCCCGUCACCGCUGCGCAAGUCGCCCGAUCAUUCUGGGAGCACGUCAUCAAGCUGCACGGCGUCCCUCACUCCAUCGUCUCGGAUCGCGACAAGAUUUUCACGAGCGCCAUGUGGCGCGAACUGCUCGCCGCCGUGGGAACCAAGCUGCUCUACUCCACGGCGUACCACCCGCAGACGGACGGCCAGACGGAACGCGUCAACCAAUGCCUCGAGAUGUACUUGCGGUGCGCGGUGCACGACACGCCACGGCAAUGGCGCAAGUGGCUUCCUGCAGCAGAAUUCUGGUACAACUCCGCUCAUCACUCCUCGCUCAAUUGUUCGCCGUUCAAGGCCCUGUACGGCAAGGAACCGAACCUUUGCGGCCUACCAAACCUGAGCUCCGCCCUACAAGAUCAAGCGGCGUCGCCGGAGCUGGACUGGACAGCACACACAAAGAUGUUGCGCGCCCAGCUCGCGCGCGCCCAAACUCGCUUCGAGAAGCAAGCCGACCGUCAUCGCGCGGAGCGCGCCUUCGACGUCGGCGAGAAAGUGCUCCUGAAACUGCAGGCGUACGCGCAGUCGACCGUCGCGAACCGCCCGUGCCGCAAGCUCUCCUACAAGUUCUUCGGGCCGUUUGAAGUAACAGAGCGGAUUGGAACCCUGGCAUACCGCCUGCAGUUGCCUCCAGACAGCCGUAUCCAUCCGAUAUUUCAAGUCUCCCAGCUCAAACCCUUCACCCCAGAUUACACGCCCAGUCUUCGCCGAGCUGCCGCGGGUGCCUGA